AGCCCUCCCCCUCCCCCCUUUUUUCAAAUACCAAUUAAAAUAUUCUAACAACCUAGUAAAGAAGAUUAAAAAAUUCCUAAGAGCUAUAACUUUGUACCGCAAGGGAAAGAUGAAAUAAAAUGAAAUAACUUCAAGCACAAAAAAGUAGAGAUUUAACCUCGUACCUUUUGCAUCAUGAUUUAGCUAGUCUAAUUAGGCAAAAAGACCUUAAGUCCAACUCCCCGAAACUAAGUGAGCUAUUUUAGGGCCGCUUAAUGAGCCCACCCAUCUAUGUUGCAAAAUAGUGGGAAGACCUUAAAAUAGAGGCGACAAACCUAACGAACUUAGUUAUAGCUGGUUUCUCGGGAAAAGAAUUUAGUCCAACCUAAAGUAAUACUAACCUACCUAAUUCCCCACUCUACUUUAGAGCAAUUCAAAUGAGGUUCAGCCCAUUUGAUACAGGAUCCAACCUUCACUAACGGGUAAUUACCCCUCGCAUCUAAAAGUAGGCCUAAAAGCAGCCAUCUUUUGAAAAGCGUCUAANNNUAACUACGCACACCUUAAUUCAUCGACCCACUCCGACCCCUUUAACGAUACUGAGAACCUCUAUAAUCUUAUAGAACAUUUUAUGCUAAAACUAGUAACAAGAGACUUUUCUCUCCUCAAUGCAAACAUAACCCAGCAAGAACCCAUCACCGGCAAUUAACAGGAUAAAAUACUUGUAACAACUCUUUUCCCGAAAACCUUACUACUAACACUGUUAACCUAACACCAGAGCAUUUCAAGAAAGAUUAAAAGAAGGGGAAGGAACUCGGCAAAUAUCAGCCUCGCCUGUUUACCAAAAACAUCGCCUCUCGACUUCAUGAGAGGUCCAGCCUGCCCAGUGACUCUGUUCAACGGCCGCGGUAUACUAACCGUGCGAAGGUAGCGUAAUCACUUGUCUUUUAAAUAAGGACUAGUAUGAAAGGCAUCACGAGGGCUAAACUGUCUCCCCCCUCUAAUCAGUGAACCUAAUCUCCCCGUGAAGAAGCGGGGAUUCCCCUAUAAGACGAGAAGACCCUAUGGAGCUUUAAACACGUAACACUGCCUUAACCUCUAAUUACCCCGGUAUACUCCCCCUCCCGGCACACUGAUUACAAGUUUUUGGUUGGGGUGACCGCGGAGAAAAACCCAUCCUCCACAAUGAAAGGGGCUCCCCCUAAACAGUGAGUCACAACUUUAAGUAUCAACAACUUGACAUCUAUUGACCCAACAAUUGAUCAACGAACCAAGUUACCCUAGGGAUAACAGCGCAAUCCACUUUGAGAGCUCCUAUCGACAAGUGGGCUUACGACCUCGAUGUUGGAUCGGGAUAACCUAGUGGUGCAACCGCUACU
rnacentral:rRNA from 1 species